UACGGAGGAUCCAAGCGUUAUCCGGAAUCAUUGGGUUUAAAGGGUCCGUAGGCGGUUUUGUAAGUCAGUGGUGAAAGCCCAUCGCUCAACGGUGGAACGGCCAUUGAUACUGCAAGACUUGAAUUAUUAGGAAGUAACUAGAGUAUGUAGUGUAGCGGUGAAAUGCUUAGAUAUUACAUGGAAUACCAAUUGCGAAGGCAGGUUACUACUAAUAUAUUGACGCUGAUGGACGAAAGCGUGGGGAGCGAACAGG
rnacentral:rRNA from 1 species